AAUGAACGCUGGCGGCAGGCCUAACACAUGCAAGUCGAGCGAUCGGCGGCCGGGUGAGUAAUGUCUGGGAAACUGCCUGAUUGAGGGGGGAAACUCCUGGAAAAGGUCACUAAUACCCCAUACCAUCAGCUGUGACCAGAGGGGCUUAGCGAGUAGGUGGGGUAACGGCUCACCUAGGCGACGAUCCCUAGCUGGUCUGAGAGGAUGACCAGCAAAACGGGAACUGAGAAACGGUCCAGACUCCUAUGGGAGGAAGCAGUGGGGAAUAUUGCACAAUGGGCGCAAGCCUGAUGCAGCCAGGCCGCGUGUAUGAAGAAGGCCUUAGGGUGGUAAAGUACUUUCAGCGGGGAGGCGUUACCCGAAGAAGAAGCACCGGCUAACUCCGUGCCAGCAGCCGCGGUAAUAC
rnacentral:rRNA from 1 species